rnacentral:SRP_RNA from 1 species
GCUGAGUGUGGUAUUGCGUGCUUGCAAUCCCAGCUACUUGGGAGGCUGAGGUGGGAGGAUCCCUUGAGCCCAGGAGGUUGAGGCUGCAGUGAGCUGUGAUCAUGCCACUGCCACUGCACUCCAGCCUGAGCAACAGAGAGAGACCCUGUCUCAA